ACCAGGAUGGCCGAGUGGUUAAGGCGUUGGACUUAAGAUUCAAUGGACGUUUGUCCGCGUGUGUUCAAACCCCACUCCUGGUA
rfam:Xenopus laevis strain J chromosome 5S, whole genome shotgun sequence.